GACGAACGCUGGCGGCAUGCCUAACACAUGCAAGUCGAACGGGAUCCUGGUUUCGGCCAGGUGAGAGUGGCGGACGGGUGAGUAACGCGUGGGAACCUGCCCAGUGGUGGGGGAUAACUGCGGGAAACUGCAGCUAAUACCGCAUGAGCCCGAAAGGGGAAAGAUUGAUCGCCAUUGGAGGGGCCCGCGUUCGAUUAGGUAGUUGGUGAGGUAACGGCUCACCAAGCCUUCGAUCGAUAGCUGGUCUGAGAGGAUGAUCAGCCACACUGGGACUGAGAUACGGCCCAGACUCCUACGGGAGGCAGCAGUGGGGAAUAUUGGACAAUGGGGCGAACCCUGAUCCAGCAAUGCCGCGUGAGUGAUGAAGGCC
rnacentral:rRNA from 1 species